rnacentral:rRNA from 1 species
UACGGAGGGUGCGAGCGUUGUCCGGAAUCACUGGGCGUAAAGGGGCGCGUAGACGGCGCGGAUAGUCGGCGGUGAAAGCCCGGAGCUCAACUCCGGGUCGGCCGUCGAUACUUCCGGGCUUGAGCACUGUAGAGGCAGAUGGAAUUCCGGGUGUAGCGGUGGAAUGCGUAGAGAUCCGGAAGAACACCGGUGGCGAAGGCGGUCUGCUGGGCGAGUUGCU